AGGUGAUCAUAGAAUGGCCUGGGUUGAAAAGGACCACAAUGAUCAUCUAGUUUCAACCCCCCUGCUGCGUGCAGGGUCGCCACCGACCAGACCAGGCUGCCCAGAGCCACAUCCAGCCUGGCCUUGGAUGCCUCCAGGGAUGAGGCAUCCACAACUUCCUCCACAACCUCCUUGCAGCAGUGUGGCGCUGUGCACGCGUUUGUGAGCAUUUGGGGGAACUAGAAACGGGUGCGGCCUCUGCAAGGCAAGGACACGGAGCCUCCUCGUGUCUGAUGCAGCGUGAGCCUGCCAGCCUUGAGGUCUUCAACAUCCCGGCAUGUUCCAGAGGCUGCCUUCCCAUAGAGGAGGCAGUGUGCCCUCCUGCAGCGUGCCCUGGUUUCAACCCGGCAAGGUCAGACCCUCUGCAAGCACUGCAGUCAGUCACCCCUCCAGGAAGCGCGUGCUUGGGAAUGCUCAGAUUGCUUGACUAGCACCCUCUGUGAGAGAUCAAUGAGGGCUGCAGCAAAACCUUAUCUCUCUUCAGUGCAUGUGGAAGCACUUCAGUCUCAAAUGCAGGUUGUGUGGCCUUCUUCACAUGUUCCCUCUGCCUGAUGUCUGUAUGAGCUUGUGAUUCGCUGUUGCGUGGAGUAGUUAUAUGAAAGGCAGUGCAACAAACUGUAAGUGUAUACCAAGGAAUUUGCCUUAAAACAGUCAUCAUAUGUGGUUCUAGGAUAAUACUGUACUGAGGAAAGCUGAGGUUAAUGAGGUCAACUUUACUUCGGUAAUAUAGUAUCGAUAAUUGAAAUAGAAUUCAUUUCAAUGUAGUGCUAAAAGAUUGGCUGUUCCACGAAGAGACAUUCCCUUCAGGACAGCAAAUCUCUUCUCACUGACGUCUGUGUUAGCACAGGGCAAUGAGACUGUAAAUUUGAUCCCCAGCCUCUCUUGCUCUCUGAGGUAGAGGUCUUUUCUCAUGAACCUCAGCAACAGCAGCUUUAACCCUGCACACCCAAGCCACCAUGAGCAAGAUGGAGUCUUUCCCCAGUUCUAAGAAAUGGAAAGAGAGGUCACCUGAAGAGACCUUUUUCCCAAGCAAGAACUGAAAGCAGGUGCAAGCUGGAAGCACAGGGGAUCCCUAAAGUUAGACUGGAAGUAAAUAUCCCUUUGACAUCUCAGGAAUCCACAGGAUGGCAGUGUUUGCAGUGCUGCCCAGCUGGAUGAAGUCUCCUCAGUGCAUGCAGGCAGGUUUGGCGUGGAGAUUACUGAUGAAGAGUUUGAGCUGCUACUUGACAGAAUCCCCCUUGAUGAAGAUGGAAAUGUCAGAUACCCCCAGUUCAUGGCCAGGUUUGAUUCCUGAGGGCCGUGUGGAAUCGUCCUAAUCCGGGAAGAGCCACUGCCUCCCUGUGUGAUCUGACAGACUGACAUAUCACUUGACCUCGGUCACGGCAGCUGUACAACGAGGUGGAAAAGGCGGCUGACGGACAACCAGGGGAUGCCUUUCAGCACAGCUUCCUCGGGCUAAACCACCGGCAAGCACACGGCUUGGCUUCUUUCUUACUCAUCCAUGAGUUUUAGAUCAAAUUCAGGUUUUGCAUAGUUUCUCUUGGAUUUUUUCUUUUUUCUUUAAUACAGUAGAAACGAGGGUGACGCAGUAACCUACCGCUGGUUCCCUGCGGCAGAGCGGCAGCCGGGAGGCCGGCCGUUGCAGGCGGCCGUUCCCGCUCGCUGCAUCGGGACUGGAAGCCGCGCUCCCCACCGUGGCGCUGCCGGGUCUGCAGGGGGCGCGGCGGCUCCGCUGCAGCUGCAGCCGCACGGCCAGCACGGCCCCCUCCCGGCGUCCUCGCGUCCCCGUCCGAUGCCUUGAAACCCUCUUCGCUGCCUCGGAGGAGCGUGCCGGCACGCGAAGUGCUGUGUCCCCGACCUGAACUGAGGGCGUCUCGAAGCCGCGUAAGGCAUCCUGGCAGCCUGUGUAGUAAGACCAUAGCUCAGCAAGCUCCUGAUUGCAGCAUGUCCCAGCAGGCUGCAGAAGGUUGUUCAUACAUAGAGUUCCUGAAGCCCUUUGCUUCUUUUUGACCAUGUGUAAGAAUGGGAGGGGAGUACCAUAGCUGUUGUCAUGCAGGCAUCUCGAAGGUAAACCAGUGCCACAGGAGCUUCUGAGUGUGGUAUUUUGACAACCAGACUACGGAGAAAGUUAUGGUGACUAGAAGACUCUUUGAAGAGUCUUUAAGAAGCAUGUUGGCAGCUGAAUUUCAAUCCAUCCCAAAUCUCCACAGCUUCCUGCUAAAAGAGGAUGAAAUUGACCACAUGCUCUCAAAAUUCAUCUCAGUCUGAAAAGGCAAGUUAAUUGCAAAUCCAGUUUGGAAAAAAAAAAUUAUAACAAACAAAAAGCAAAAAAAAAAAUUUUCAGAACUGCUGCAAGUUAGAAUAUUCCUUUGAGAAGAAUAACAGCCUUUAUAUUCUCCCAGUUGCCUAUGCUUCUAGCUACAUCAUUUAUACAUCUUAUUUAUAUCCCCUGUCUAUUGAUUGUGGGUCAUAUCAAUACUCUAUGUUGUUUUGUGGAGAGGUGCUAAAAGCUCUUUCUGAGAGCUUAAAGCAAAGCUGAAAAUAAGACAGAUACUGACUGUAUGUAACAUAUGUCAUGUGACUAAGAAAAUGAGCUCUCUGAGAAGGAGUGGCUACGUUGCUCUGCGGAGCAGCAGAUUGAUUUGAGAAGGUGAAAUAUUCAAGCUGCUUUGCUGCUGGGAGCCUCCUCACAACAGAAGAGGGUUCCUUUGGCCUCACAGAGUUAGUUUGAAUCCUGCACGUGCAUGUAAGAGAGUAGAUUAUUUUGCCUAGUUGUGUCAUCUUUUCUUCUUGGGGGAACAGUUCAUGCCUUCAGUAUAGCAGGCAGUAGGGCCUGCUCUGCAGUUGUUCUGCACAUGACUUCACUUUCACCAUCAGAGUAACUGAGUGUUUAGGACCAAGGUAGGUUACUUACUUUCCAUACACCUUUGCAAACACAGGGCUGUGUGGCUUAAUUAGCAAAUUGAGCACCAGGAGCCACCGAAAUAUGGAUCACUUACCUGUUUGGUAAGGUCUGUGCUGAGGCAGCUCCAUCAUGCCUCCUCCUCAUGGAAACAGCUCUAGCUUCAGGGCUCUCCAGAGAGCUUUGUCUGCUUUCAGGAGUUAAGGAUUUGGUCCAGAAUGUACACAAGUAGCUUGUUUGUUUCAUGCAGACAGUAAUUUGUAACCAACUUAAGCACUGGUAUCCUUUAGCAACAUUUAAUUGUUUUCAUGCAUCGUAGCCAUCUAACAGGUUUUAUUUGGCUUUCUGCACCAAAAAAUGUA